UAUAAAAUAACUAAUAAGAACCUGCUGUAUAAAAAUAAAUAAAAUAAAAUUCAAAAAAACCCCCACAAAACCACAUGCCAAGCCAGAAUUGGCCUGUGGGCUGAAGUUUACCAACACUUGGACAGCAGUAUAUGUUUACAGUUUCAUCUCAAGGGCAUCUCAUUUCAUUUCUCUGUCAUAAUCAGAAGGGAUCUGGGCUGUCCAGAUGUCCUGCAGAGCAUCACACUGACCUACUACGAGCUAGAAGUGGUCAGUGCUUUGGUGGCCUUGAUGAUACACGUGCACUCAGAGGAUAGAACAUAAUCACUGCAUACAUUCUCCACAUCAAUCACAGACCCCUAUGAAAGGGGGGCUAGUAGUCAGGGACAUGCCAGACUAUUUCAGUUGUGACAAUUUGUGAUCUCUGAGAAGCAGAUGCCAAAAUGGGUUAUAUGUACAAGAGACUUAUUGGGAGAAAUGCCUGUGAAAGAUGGAGGAAGAGGAAGCAGGAGGAAGCAAGGAGCAUCUUCAGUCCUCAAUGCAGGCCUUCAGACUUGGACUGAAUUACACCACUGGCUUUCUUCAUUCUGCAGCUUGUUGGUGGCAGACUGUGGAACUCCUUGGCCUCCAUAAUCAUGAGUCAAUUCCUAUAAUAAAUCUCCUGUAUAUAUCCAUAUAUAUUCUAUUGGUUCUUUCUCUGGGGAACACUCAUCAAUAUGACCAUUCAUUUCUCUGAGGUCAUCAGUCCAGAGAGCAGCCCAGAUCCAUCACUCUGAUGUUAAGAGAGAAUCCAGAGGAUACCAUGAAGAGUACGGAGAACGUGUAUCUCCUACCUCCAUCACCAGGACUUUGUGGAAGUUAUAUUCUACCCUAUGUCGACUGAAAAAAAAAAAAAAAGUACAAUCUAAAAGUUGAGAAUUACAUUUUAUUUGGUGGACUUGCUGAGGACUUUAGCCCUGAAGGCAGCCUCUCAGAUGUCUCUGAGGGACUGCUCCAAUGAGGAAAACGAGGAGCUAGGAUAUAUAGAAGUUUUUGCUG